rnacentral:rRNA from 1 species
AACGAACGCUGGCGGCGUGGAUAAGACAUGCAAGUCGAGCGAAAGUUUGCGGGUAGCAAUAUUUGCAAGCUUUAGCGGCGCAAGGGUGCGUAACACGUGGGUAAUUUACCAAAAAGCUUGGAAUAACUUGCUGAAAGGCGAGCUAAUACCGGAUGUAACUGCGGGGAGGCAUCUUCCUGUUGUUAAAGCUGGGGACCGUAAGGCCUGGCACUUUUUGAUAAGCCCGCGGCCUAUCAGCUAGUUGGCGGGGUAACGGCCCACCAAGGCUAAGACGGGUAGCUGGUCUGAGAGGACGACCAGCCACACUGGAACUGAGACACGGUCCAGACACCUACGGGUGGCAGCAGUCGAGAAUUUUUCACAAUGGGCGAAAGCCUGAUGGAGCGACGCCGCGUGGGGGGAUGAAUGGCUUCGGUCCGUAAACCCCUGUCAUUCGGGAGCAAUGCCUGUGAAUUAACACUCUGCAGGUUGAUAGUACUGGAAGAGGAAGGGACGGCUAACUCUGUGCCAGCAGCCGCGG